CAGCCGUAAACUAUGCGCGUUAGGUGUACUGGUGACCACGAGUCACCGGGGUGCCGAAGGGAAACCGUGAAACGUGCCGCCUGGGAAGUACGGGCGCAAGGCUGAAACUUAAAGGAAUUGGCGGGGGAGCACCACGACGGGUGGAGCCUGCGGUUUAAUUGGACUCAACGCCGGAAAUCUCACCGGAUAGGACAGACAUAUGAUAGUCGGGCUGAAGACUCUACUUGAUGAUCUGAGAGGAGGUGCAUGGCGUCAGUGACU
rnacentral:rRNA from 1 species